AUUUGUCGACGAAUUUGAUAUUCUUUUACAAAAUAUACUUAUCUUAAUAUGUAUAACCGGAGUUUAUAUUACAUGCCCCUCUCCCAACGAUAGUUGUAGUACUCUUAUAAUAGUAGUACUCAUGAAUACAGUUAAUCCGGGUUGUUGGGAGAGAUCACAUGCAUAAAUACAACAUGAAACAAACGUGUGAAAAAGGUACAUAAAAUCGGUGUGACCCGUUCUUGUAUUAUAAGAAAUCAACUUGCUUAGGCCUUGCCGGACUCCUCACAACCCGGUGGCUUGAAGGCGAUGAAGCUGAUGCACUGCACUUGCCUGGUGUUGUCGAAGCCGAUGAUGCGGACAUAGGCGUCAGGGUACUCCUUCUUCACCUCCUCCAGCUCCUUUAGCACCUGCGUGGCGUCGGUGCACCCGAACAUGGGAAGCUUCCACAUUGUCCAGUACCUGCCGUCGUAGUACCCGGGAGAGUUGCCGUGCUCACGGAAGACGAAACCGACCUUGCUGAACUCGAGGCAAGGAACCCACUUGGAGCGGAUGAGAUACUCGAUCUGCUUCAAGAGGGACUCCACGGUGAGAGGCGGCAGGUAGGAAAGGGUUUCGAACUUCUUGAUGCCCUCAAUUGGCCACACCUACAAUUAGAUUAAUAAUUAGCACCGAAAGUAUAAUUUGAGACACAUAUCAGUAUUUCACUUCAACAUAUGUACAUGAUGACAUACAUACCUGCAUGCACCUGAUCCUUCCACCGUUGGAGACGCUGCCGAGACCAGCGCUGGCUGAGCGGCGGCCGAUGGGGAGCCCGGCGGUGGACUUGAGGCCCUGGAAAGGAGCAACGGCAGUAGCCGCUGACGACAUCACUGUGGGAGCCAUCGUACACGUACGUAGAUAGCUAACAAGAGGAGGCAGGCUUGCUUGAGUGCUCUCUAGCUACAGCGGCUUAUAUAACUGUAGGCUCCCCACCCAUCCAAUAUCAGCACAAGAUCUAGGAGGGGUGGCUGCAGUUCGCCGCGCGGAUUUGCCCAGGCCACGCUGGCAUCCUACGGAUCAGGUCGGGCGCCACAUGGCCGCACGAAAUGGCGCGCGUUAUCCUCUGGACGGAUACAAUUGGCUGCAACGCACUCUGCAAAUCAUGCCAUGAAGUGACCAAUUUUCACCUAUCAGGAUAGAUCCAAUGUGCCACGGCAUGCACUCAAAAACAGAACUUGCUAAUCCCUCCAAUCCAUAAAAAAUCUCGCCCACUUAUUAGAAAAUUUGUAAUGAGUUAAUGCAAAAUGAGCAGCACUUUUUAUGAACUAGAGGAACAACAAAUUAAGAGAAACUCUUCUAAGAUCUUAUCGAGAACGAAGCUUGCCCCCGCGUCGCUCAGUCUGGGGCGACACGGGCGGCAACCACACCAGCCCCGGCAGCAGCCUCUCCCCGUCCUCUCCUCCCCCUCGCCGCCGCCGGGCAAAGCCCGCACGGGGACGGCGGCGGCGGGGCUGUUUUUCUUGGCGGGGGUGUCCUAGAGCUCUUGGCUGAGGCGUUUGAGGUGCUGCCUCAUCGUGGUCGCGGCGUCUCCGGCCCGAUCCGGCAGGCUAUGCCUCGUCUUCGGCUAGAUCCGGCCGGCUUCCUCCCGGAUCCGGUGUUUCCCCUCGUUCUUCCUCUCCCUGGUGCUCGGUCUGCUCGUGGCUGCGCGGCUUCACGGCGGCGCUCUUCGGCCGGAUCUAGCUACUCGUUGGCCAGAUCCGUCAUCUCCUCCGGCUGAUCCGGCAUGUCCCAGGUCUCUUCGUUUCCAUCAUUUUUCCUCUCAGUUUGGUGAGGCGGCUGAUUGAACUUCACCGGCGGCAGAUGGGCUGCUGCUGCGGCCAUACAUGGUCCAAGUCGGUCCUUUUCGAUGCCAUGGUGGCGUGGUUUUCAUUUUCGGUCGCGUCUUCGGCUGCUGCCCGUGUGCGAGGUAUGGACGUCGGCUCCGGUGUUUGGAGUGUUGCUCUGGAUGAAAACUGCCCGUGUGCGAGGUAUGCCGAAGACAACGAUGUUGUAGCGCCGUUUUCCUUCUUGGAGGUGUCGUCGAAGAGCUUCACUUUCCCUCACUUUGAUGUUUGGUGUCUUCGGGUGAAAACCUAAGAUUUGGCUAUGGCCAGAUCGGGCGACAACGGCGUUUUUACGUCGAUUUCCUCCUUGGGGGCGUUGUCAUGGAGACAACGACUCUUGGUGGCAUCGGGUGGUGUGGUCCGUCUAUGGUGGAGCUUGUUGUCUCGAGUUGUUGAAGGUUUGGUGGUGUCUCUUCUUGUGUCAUGUGUUAGCUUAGGCUGUCGGUUUGUGUCCGGCGAGAACGUGCGUUUCUUAUCCUUUGGUGCGGUUUCGGCAUGUGAUGCCUUUCGUCUUCACUAUCGUCACGUAGGUGUCGUGUUGUAUUCUCGGUGGUGUGUGGUCUUUCGGCUUAGCCAACGGCAAGUGGAGGUAUGAUCUCGGUUGUGUAUUGCCCUUCGACUUCAUCGGCGGCACAUCGGCGUCGCGGUGGGUCUCAGUGACGCGCAGCCCUUCGACUCUGCCGGCUACGUAGGUGUCAUGGUGCGGCCUUGACCCUGUGCUUCCCUUCAGCUACGGCGACGACAUAGUGUCUGGGUGGGCUCGUCAGAUCGACGCCUUUCGACUACAUCAACUAUGCUCUUCAUUGUGCAUUUAUUUUGCCAUUGACAUGUUUCAAGAGUCUAGGUUUUUUCCUUGUGUUUCUUUUAGCAAAUGCUGUUCUGCAGGCUGGCUUUUGCCCACCCGAUCAGAAAAGAAAAACAAAUUAAAGGCUAAAAUCAAGCGAUGUUAUAUUCCCUUAGCUAUUACAAAUAUGGAUGAUAAGAGUUAUUUAUCCUUUUUCAACGAGUAACCCUUUACUUGGAAGUUCCAUGUGCAUGGCGCUGCAAGAAAACAAACAUCAUAAUGGGGCAAGACUUUUUUUUUUAUAAACAUCCAAUUUGGGUUAAAGUCUGAAAGAAUUUGGCUAUCUGAACUUUCAGUUUCCACAUUCUUUUACCUACUCAAUUCUUCAGCCAACAGGAUCAAUGGCGACCUACUAACACCAACCAGAACACAUGGGUCACAAACACGAAAAAGGGCUAGAAGGCUACUUAUACACACUCAUGUGUACUGCGAGCAAAAGAACAUAAUGUACAAAACUUUACAAAAUCUAGGGAAUUAAGACCUUCCCGUAUGCUGUUGCUGCCGCUGCUGCUUCAUGCUGGCUCUCCUGGCAACAUCCCAUGGUUUGUGAGGCACACCUACACCUUGCUGGGAUGCGAAGAACGACUCGUAUCCCGGGGAGUCGAAAGCAAAACCAGUGUGCUUGGAGUUCUCUCGAGGGAGCAUGGAGAUCGCAUAGCUUCUUGCUUCUUCUGGGCUCAAAUGGCUCCUCUCAGGCAGAUGUAUCAUGCUGUAUUCGUGGGGGUCAUCCUUGUGCAUCUCCUGGAUUACUUGGUAGUCAUAGGGAAAGAGCCAUCUUUGGAGCCUGAGAAAGCACACAGCAUCAAAGACAACAAUUGAUUCAGCUACUUCAGUAUGUACAAUGGAAGGAAUAACAAACGGAUGGCAUUAACAAACAUAUAAUUUUGCAAAAGAGCUGGUAUCUUACGAUAGAUACAGGAAAUCACCAAAGAGAGCGAUGACUGGAGCAAGCAUUAGUGUGAGGUAGAAGAAAAAGGUACUCAUCAGAACAUAAAUCACAAAAUAUACAUUUUCCUGCACAAGGUACACAGCAUUAAGUCAAUGCAUUUGUAGCAAGUAAUCGUCAUCAGCAGUGUAAUAGCUACAUUAUUCACCCACCUGUCGGUCAAAUGAUGUCAUUAUCGCAGAAUAUAUGAAGAUAAACAGAAACCAGGCCGCUAUACUGCCAGCUACGCUGAAAUAAUGCCAUCUCGUGAUAGAAUUGCACGACAUGAGGAGACGUAGAUUAACAGUCACCACAACACAAGUAAAGGCCAUCGUGCUAACAUCCCAUUGACCAAGAAUCUUGCCAGAUGAACCGUGACCAUGCUGACUUGCAGCUGCAGUAAAGUAAUAGAACACUAUUGACUGGUAGAAGGCAAAGAAACCCCACACCGCAAUCACUUUCCACCGGAAGAAUGUGUUCCUAAUUCCUUCUUGGUAAAGUUGUGGGUAUUUUUUUGAUAGAGAUGCACUCACAUCCUGAAAGGGUUCAGUUUAGUGAAUGUAGCAAGGAGCGUCACUCCAGAACAAGAAAAGUAGAACAAAUACAAGCAACCAUACCUUAUCAAACAACCCAACCAUAAUUACAGGUAGUGCCGUGAAAAUGACAUUAUACAGAGACUGGAACCAGUCAUCAUAAAAUCGCUGACCAGAAAAGCCAGUUUGGAAAGUGAACCAGAACUGAGUUAGUGUAAAAGUCAGAUUCUUGUAGAAGAAGUAUGUGAUAACCUGAAACAGAAAGUGUCAAUGUUAAAAAAAUUAAACUACACAGAUUGGCAGCUACAAGCUAAGGGACCAAAGCAUACCUUGCACAAUCUCAAGUAUGACCACCGCCCAUGUACAAGAAGUAAAUCCGUAAGAUAUCGAAACUGAGCAAUGGCAAAAUCACUCGCCAUAACAGCUUGCAUUCCUUCUUGUCCGCUGAUGCCAAUACCAACAUGAGCAGCUUGAAUCAUACUCACAUCAUUAGCACCAUCACCAAUACUGAGAGUUAUCUUACGUGCACCUUUCCUAACUAAACUUGCAACCUACAAAUGUGUCAACAUUACAUGUUUUGGCAUCAUUCGAACCCAACAGGUUAUUAGGAAAUAAAUCCAAAAAUAAGAGACUUUGAGAUUGCUGAUGGGAUGGGUAACAACCAAAUAAGCACAUAUACAAUAAGUUAAUUAAUACUACCUUUGUUUCAAAAUAUUAUACCAAAACGUCUUAUAUUUUGAAACAGAGAUAGUACUUAUAGUACAAGAGUGUACAGGACAUUUAGUUAAGAGGCCAAAACUAGAAUAGCAAAAGCAACCAAUGCACAGUGGUUAAUAAUGAUCUUGUGAAUCAUGCACAAACUAUUUUGUUGUCAAGGUACAAAAUUGGAUCCUUUAAAAUGUAAUAAUAUCAAUAUCCCCCGUUUAUUGCCCAAGCAUCCUGAAAGGCAUGCAGCUGAGAGCUGCAGACCAUACUGCUAAUUAUUUCAUGGGAAAAGGCAAGGCAUGCAUGAUAAGAACGCUAAAAGCGAGAAUUGAUAUUUACCUGUGCCUUUUGCAGUGGAGAAACUCGACAACAUACAACUGAUUGGCAAAUUAAACUCAAACCAAGAAGAUUCACACGCAGAGCUGGGUCUAGAGCGUACAUCAAGCAUCGUCCAUCAAUAAUGAAAGCCAACUUUCGUCCUGGCGUGCUCCUCAAAGAACGGUGGGCUUCCUCAAGGUAACUUCUCAGACUCUGUUUUACCGAGUCUUUGAUAACACGUGCAAUUUCCACAGGGUCUCCCUGAAAAUGACUGGAACAUUAUUCAUGGCAAAGAUAUGUGCAUAAGUUGAUUUACAUCAAUCAGAUACAAAUGCUAAAUUGCUAAUUAUGGUUGAUCAAACUGCAAAACACACGAGAUAUCCAAAAGGCUAUAUAAACAUGAUGGAGAGGCUAAAGCACUGAAACAACAGAAUCAACAUAAAGUAUUUUGUACUAUUAUGCAACUAAGCCUUUUGUCCCAAGCAAGUUGGGGCAGGCUAGAUAUGAAACCCAAACAGAAACUAAAGCAAAGUGCAGGUAACAAAAGAGCAAGAGAGUAAAUCAAGGUUCAGGCACAUGGACUGCUGAUUUCCAUGCAGCCCUAUCAAAAGCAAAAUCUCUAGAUACAUUCCAGUCCUUCAAGUCCCUUUAACUGCCUCCUACCAAAAGCAAAUAUCAUAGUAAUCCACCAACCAAAGUAACAAGGGAACUACUUGUAACUUCUUAGUUCACAAGUACAUACCAGUUGAGCUAUCCAAUUAUUCUAAAUAAUAUGGUUUGAUACCUUUACCAAAGUCUCAACUUGUAUUCAUUUUAAAGCUUAUACAAGAUAUUAUAUGUUAUGGCUUAACAGUCUCCAUGACACAAUAUGGCUUGACUUCACAGUUUAAUUCUAUAGGAUUAUCUUACCCUGUCUUCAGCAUCUCUAAUUGCAUCUGUCUCAGAAGUGAUGAUGAAUUGUUUUGUAUCGUUAUUCACCAGGCUGCACGCUGCAGAGCAAAAACUAAAUAACUUCAGAAGCUUUUCUAUGUCAGGUGAAAGAGAGAGAAAAAGACCGCCCGCCCCCCACCAAUAAUCCAAAACUGAGCUUCUAUUAGACCCCUUAAGAACGAAACAAGCAUGCAAAUUGAUCUAUAUAUAAUUAAAACCUCACCAUAUGCUAUAUUAAUUGCUGUUUCCAUUUUAUCUCCAGUUAGCACCCAAAUUUUUAUGCCAGCUGCAGAAAGAGUUUCAAUGCAGGCUGGAACCCCUUCUUGCAGUUUGUCUUCUAUUGCAGUGCACCCUAUCAAUAUAAGGUCCUUUUCAAUCAACUCAGCCACCUACAGGGGAAGAAACAGAAGGAAAUUAUAUGGCAAUGUCCCAGCAAUAUCUUAAAUCAGAAUAUACAUUAAGUCUAUUACUUCAAAUUCCUUUUUCCUAGAAAUCACAGUGAACUUAGUACAUGAAAGAAUGAAAGGAUAAUGCUUUUCUAAUGGGGAUUUGAAAAAACAUCAUAAAAAUAAUAAUAUAAAGUACUGUAUGUUCUUGUUCUAGAUAAAUUACAAAUAUCUUUUGCUCAUGAUCCUCUUUCCUGACUAAAAAAUAUAUAUUAUUAUGUAAAAUACUAAUGUUCUAUGGCAGUACAAGAUAAUAAAUUAGCACAAAAAACUAUUAAACUGCAAAUGUCAGCUGUUAGGGAUGGAUGACAUGACUCCUGUAGUUUUGGGGGGAGAGAGAGAGGAGACACACUGAACAAAUUACUUCCUUCGUCUCCAAAGAUUGCCAUGCCACAUUCUAUUCGGUCAGUCAACCUUUUACAACUUCAAAAUUAACAAUUAUAAGUGAAUUGAAUUACUACAUGAAAAAUAACAGCACUCAAUUUGCUUGCAUAAUAAUUUGUACGCAAAACUUUUGCUUGUAUAUUAGCAUAGAAAUCAUAGCCAGAGUUUUAUGUUGGGAGAAUAUAAAAUUAAAAAAUGGCCUACAUUUGUCAGGUACAUUCAGUUAAUUGUUUCCAAAACCAAAUUAAUUUUCAUACAUAAAUACCAAACGGAUCAAUAGCAUGCUCAACAGUGCACAUGAGACUCGAGUUCAGUACUGGAUGACAGAAAGUAAAAAAAAUCAGGCAAGCACUAGAAGGUGGAGGGGAAGUAAUCGAAAUUCAAAUCACAGGGACUGUUCAGCCUGUAUACUCAACAGAAGAGGAUGGUACACAUACCUCAUCAAGCUUCUUAUCACGAUCUCGUAAAGAAGAUUUAGCUUGAACAAACUUCUCAUUCCAGCUUUCGUACUGCUCCCUGCUUAGAUCUCGAUAAGCAAGGCAAAGCGUGCGCAAGCCAGCAGAGCCAAAUUGUUCUAGAUGUUCUCUGCUUGUCUUUUUAAUGUCAUGAUUUCCAUCAGCUAACCGUUCAAAAAUGACAUUAUCAGCGCCCUGUUACACAACAUUUGUAUAAGGUUAGUGCAUCAAUCUACAAAGUGAUAGCUACAUAAAGAUUCUUUUUUCUUGUAUUACCUUGCAAUACAGAACAAGUUUUCCAUUUGGGAAACGGCAAACCACAGAUUGGCGCUUUCUUGUACUGUGAGUGCAGUAAAGUGUGAAGUGCAGAACAAUGAUUUCAUCUUGUCAAAUUUAAAUUGAAAACAGAUAAACCAGACCUGUUGAAUUCCAAAACAUUCAGAAUUUCAUAUGCAACAUCUUGUAUACUCCCCAUCCUCUCAACAUGUGAUUCCCGAACCAAGACUGUGGUUGGCGUACGUCUACAAGACAGGCACAAAAUGUCAACCACCGGCAUUGCCAUUCACAAUAAAAAUGCCACAUGAAAUAAUUUGCAACAAAAAUCAUAAGAACUUAGAUGAGUUCAUGUUCACAGCACUUGCUUUAACACUUGUCUUAAUUUACAACGGCAAUUUUUUGUUGAUGGGCUAAUAGUUUAUUUAUGCUUCUUAGUAUGUACAUUCAGUCCUUCAUACAACAAACUAUAUAAGCAAUAACCUGGGUGAGUGACUCUUUUAUGCACAUUUUCCUUGGGACCAUAGCAUAGUUUUUUAAGAUACCUUGUUUGCAACAAACUGAUAAGAGGAAUCUAUAACUGUAUUUAAAGGCAAGGUAAGACAUGCCUAUAAAAGAAGAAACCAAAAUUCUUCGCAGCAGCGACAAGCGCGGCCUCGUCGGGAGAGGCAGCUUGAUAAGUAAUCUUUUCCGGUGUCUCCUCACCCUCAGGAAGAACUGUAUGACAGAUUGCAAGGCAUCUGCAGAAUUGCUAUAGAGCAAAUAACAAAGUUGUUACACAACUAGCACAUUAACAAGGGAAAAUGUGAAAAAGGAAAAUAGGUUCCAAAUUUUAUUAGUAAGGGCAUAUAUCGUGAUAUGUGAAUAAUUUGUGUCAACUAAAUCAAAACUGAUUAUGACCAAAGGGGAACCAAUCGAACUAUUCCACAGGUAGUCCCGUAUUUACCACGCAAGCAUCAGGAUUAGGUUCAUUUCUCCAUGCACCACGCAUUAUUCUAGCAUCAUCAAAGUUGAAUCCUUUCUCAUGAACUGCAGUGGCUGAUCUUUUACCCUAAAAAAGGCAAGUAAACUGGAUAUUAAAUCAGUUGUGCAUUAAAUUUUUCAUCAUAUACCACCACACUUCAAUAGCGUAAACAACAAAGAAAAUGUUGUAGACCUCAUCAUCAUCAAUCUUGACUCCGGCUCGCUCGGCUCCUCCUUUUUCAAUCUCUGUGAUGCCAGUUCCAUAUAUUUCCCCUCCAAUCGAACAUUUAAAGAAUUCCAUCAAGUUUCUUGUAAGUGUUCCAGUUUUGUCAGAAAAUAUAUACUCAACCUGAACCAUUAGUGGGGCAAAAAAAAUUUGGCAGAAAUGUCAAAUUAUUUGCAAGUGUUAAGUGCAUUUUAGUACCACUCGGCAUUUGUUCAGUCAUAUAAGCAUUUCUGGGGAUCUAGAACAGUUUUUCGGUGGGAGUAAGUCACUUAAUAUUAGUGAAAUGAGACUGUUCCCCAAGUGCUUAUAAUUGAUCCCACUUUCUGGAAUGAGUCGGUGCAGUGAGGUCAUUCUAUCCAUUAACCAAACCCAGCCAUAUAGGUCAAAUAAGUAAAUAACCCCAUUUCAGCAACAAACAAAGGGGCUUUCAUCAAACUAAACAGAAUGCUAAGGAACAAAAAAAAAACUGAUAUUACCUGCCCAAGCUCCUCAUUCAGAUUAGAAGUCCGAGCCAAAGCUGGGGUGUUGCUCUCGGCAUGAUACAUAUUCAGAUCAUUGUUAAUAAACUUUGCACACUGAAUGAAUUUGAUCAUCUGCCAGCCAAAAUAAACAUAAGGUCCAAUCCAAAUACAGGGUACACUAAAUGAUAAAUUGGUCAAUAUACCUCAAUGGAUACAUAAAGAGAAAUGGGGAUGAUCGUUGAGUAUAGAGUUAUUAGAGUAAACAUAGUUAAAAUGGUCACCUGCAAAAGUACAAACCUAUGAUAUAAGGCCACUUAGAGAAUAUUCUCUACAAUAAAUUAACUAAAAUAAUAUAUACCACAAAUCUGUUCUUGGGAUUAAACUGGUCCUCGACACGCCCACGCAAUCCAAGAUAGAAGUAUUUCUCAUUAAUAAACACGCCACUGUUCACAAAAGCCAAGUAUGAUGAGUCCAUUGGUAGAGUUUUAGGUUUCUAAAGAACGUGCAAGCUAAGCAGUCAUAGUUACCAAAAUCUAUAUGCUGAACAGAGCACUUCCAUUUCUGACCAUCUAGAAAGUGCCCUAUUAUGUACCUCCCACAUAAAACCACUAAGAAAAAAGAUAAGGCUAUUAAGACCUAGUCAUGUGCUCAUCUAUACUGCUCCUAUGCCACAAUAAAAAAAUAACUUCCCCAAACAAGCUCCUGACAACUCAUGUCAUAAUGUUUAAAGUUUAUCUCUCUAUUAACAGUUGUUUUUUCAUGAUCAAUUAAAUUGUGAAAAAUGAUUGUGCAAGCAUAAGCCUCCACAACAUCAACCUAACCGAUAUAACUCAUGUUCAGAGAAUAUACAUGUAAACAAUAAUACAAGAUAGAUAAGUCAAAUAAAUGAAGUGGGCCAAAUAAAACACUGACCUUCCAAUAGCACCAAUGACACACAUCGUAAAGAGGGUUGCAAAUAGAGCAAGAAUAAGCUUGUCUAGUUUCUUCUCCAAUGUACUUCUUUUAGAGGGAACAUUCAUAGAAUUCAUCAUAACCUGCAAUAGUGUCCCACUGCAGUAAAUCUCAAAACUAGAAGCACAUCUAACCUACAAGUUGAAUAUAUAGGGACACAAAAUUGCACAUACUUUCGUCUCAUGGCCCGUGAAUAUAACAGCCGCGACAAUGUACUCUGUAUUACGAAGGCUGCAUCCCUGUGGCAAAGUGGUAAUAAGAGGUUGCAUGUGUGCCACAUAAAGAGAGAGAAUUAAGUGUCAUGCAAGACACCGUUCAGUCUGGUGAAAGUAAACAUUUCUUUUGCACUUUACAAACAUUGCUUCAACCCUUCACCACUUAUCCUACAUAUGGGACUAGAGAAGAAAUGGAAGUUGUUUAUAUGAAUGUUAAACAUUUCCAAAUUGUUUAUAUCAUAGCUAUCCUUGUUUGCAAACCAAUAAGAACAAUAUUAUUAUAGAGGUGUUUUAUGAUGAAAAUUUCUGCUGGUGACAUUUGGGUGUCGUCAAUAUUGGUAUUUGGAGGAGAUGUUGGUGAUCAAAGUUAAAGGCCGAGUAAAGGCAUCACGCUAUGAUGUUAUUUUUUACCUGAGGGAUUUUCUUAACAAACUCAUGCUAAAUCUAGAACAUGCAAACAACUUUGCAGGUGGACAAUCUUGUAAAGAAAUUUCAAGGGCAUGUUUGUGUGAGGGGUAUUACUUUGGUACGUGUUGGUAACUACAUACCUAAUUGUUACAAGAAAAAUCUCAUCCAAACAAGCCCUAAGGACAUUAUGGACCUUGCUACUGCAAAGUUGGUAAGUCGAAAAUACGACAGGAUGUCUGAUUGAUAUGUAGGACCUGGACCCACAUGUCAUUCUCACAGCGAGUCGCACUAUUUCAAAUGUCAACUUUGUGGUGGCAUGGUUUCAAUUUUCCCAAUAAGAAACUAGAUACAAAUAGCAUAGAUGAACAGCACUUACCCUUAGUAGUAUUUGAUUUGGUGAAAUUGGUAUAGUUUGCUUGUCCACAAUAAGGUUCCCGGUAAAUGUAUAAAGUGAAUUGUUUGGCUGUUCGCAUUGUAUUUCACCUGUAAGCCAUGAAACAUACAGAUAAUGUGAAGUUAAGAAAAUGUAGAAUAGUUAAGUGAAGUUCAGAAAAGGAGCAAUGCUUCCUACACCAACUACCGAAAAAUGUCUGCAACAUGGAACAAGAAUAGAUAAAAACCUUUGAAUUCAGAAGCCUUUUCAGGAAUUACGCAGUCCCAGGUUUUCUCCAAAGCCUUCCUUAUUUUCAGGUUAGUUUCCCCAUCAAGAUUUGCUGUCUAAGGUAAAUAGAAGUAUGAUACACUUCAAUUAAAACAGAGUUUCUCUAAAUCAUUCAAUAAUUUCAAUUUGGACAAAAGAUGGAGAAGGUAAGAAUGAAUAUAUUGACCUCUAUGUAGCAGACACCAUCAGGGUUCGUACUUGAUAGGAAGAGCAAGUCAGAAGGAAAGUAAGUGUCUUGCUUGAUCUGCUCUAAAGAAGUGCCAUCACUAUUAGUCUUUUUGGAUAUGUGUAUCGAGCUGAAGAUUAAAUUUGCACAGCACAAAAGAUCAAGUGCAUUAAUUUGUGGAAGCAACAGAUCAAUUGAAUUGAUCAUCAAAUUGCUAUCAGGAAAGAUGAAGACAUUACCCUCACAAUAUCUCCAACCUGCAGUCUUUUCCAAGGGGCACUUUCCCAUUUUUGACCUUGCAAUACAUCGACGUGCGCAUUAUUAAUUGACAUGUCAUUCUGGAAACGUUUCUGUAUAAUGGGAGGCAAACAAAAAGGGAAGAAUAUCAGAUAACAUUAAGAAUAGCAAUAAAAUAGUGGAGCAACAGAGCAUGAGAGCAAUACUAACCCAGUCCUCAAAAGCUUCCUUGAUGAGUGAAACCAAAAGCACUAAACUAAGUGGAACCACAUUGGUGACAGGGUGGACUGGACUGCGAAGAUACAAGCAUGUAUGAACUAAGAUUUCUAGAAGUAAAGGUGAAGGAAAGCAAAGGAUGACUGAAUCAACUGAUGGACUUGAUAUGCUAAGAAGUGUCUAGCUGUAACAUGAGAAUUCCAUAGGGUGCAUGCAUGAGAGAGAGAGAGAGACCUAAUUGGUGUAGUCGACAAGAUUGAAAUCAUAAGAAAGUAAAGAUUUGCCACCCGUCUGAACUGUCAAAGCAAAAAAAAAAACAAAUGAAUUACAAAAGGUUCCUAUGGUCAAAUUGCGAUAAUACAGAAAGGGAACAUCUAAAUCGGUGUUACAGCUACCAUUGCAAAGUUUCUUUAUUCGAUAUGGAAAAAUGCAUUACAUGUUUAAUGUAUGAAGCCAUUGAAAUACUUUAAUGUACCUUACGUAAAAAACAGUGGAUAAUGAAAUUGCCAGAAUUAUGGUAUCGCAUAAAAUGAAGGUUACAUUGAGCGAAAAGCAUGAUCAGGGCUUUACCAAAUAACAAAAUCAUACUUCUCCUUUUCUCAAUAUAUGGCAUUUUAGGUUUCAUUGAAGACAAGUCUUUGAAAAGGAUUUACUUUGUGUUGUUUUUAAGGCAUGAAAUUUAUAUCACUAGAUUCAUCCUCAAAAGUACUUAAUGUGGAUUCAUAUCAUAUAAAUCACAUAUUAAUGAAGUAAUUCUUGGUCAAAGUCUUGUAUUAACGAAACCUAAUAUGUCCUGUAUUGACAAAAUGAGGGAGUAUAUUAUCUAACAGUGCAUGUAUACAGGCACGAUACUGGUAGCGCGUAUUACAAGCAAGGUAUCUUAAAAACAUUGCAACACAGUGCCAGACCAGGUAAGCAACUAAGCAUCUCAUGUAUCCACUAUUUUAAGGGAAGUUGAUCCAGAGUGAGGAAAUAAACAUUUUUAAGGAGAUAUAUCAAUUUGCAAUGUGAAAAUGAUACGGAGUAGUAUAAUCAUUUCACUGUGAUAACAAAUACUCCCUCCGUUCUAAAUACUUGUCGCUGUUUUAGUGCAAACUAAAACAGCGACAAGUAUUUAGGAACAGAGGGAGUAACUUCCAUUUACCGUUAGACAUGAUACAAAAUAAUAUGUUGAAAAAAAAUCUAGCCAAAAACUAAAAAACAAACAGAAAAUCUGCAUUAAACGAUGACAAACCCAGCAGGUAUGUUGAUUAACAAAAUAUGUAUGAACAAAAAACAACGCAUCAAUACCUGUUCAAACAAUCCUUUAGGUAGAAAUGUCAGCACACUGUACUUUGUAGUCGACACAGAAUUUCCCUGGAAAUGUAGAAUGAGAAUGUUAAAGAACUAAUUCUAGCAGAAAAACAAAGUAGCGCUCUGCAUUAGAAUCGCGAUGGUCUGAUACCCAACAUGAGGGAGAUUCUGAAACUAAACAGAAGAGCUAAUUGCAACUAGAAGCAUGAAAAAAGUAUAGCUUGAUCUUUUUACAACAUCAAGUCUGAAUACAUUCAAGCAUUUACACUAACUUGGAACAAAAUGUGGGUGUCAAAGAAAAUGCAUGAAUACACCUACUUACAAUAAAGCACCAAUUUUGCAGUGAUUGGACAAACUAUGGUUAAAAUACUUAAUAAUAGAGUUCUACGUAUUUGGAGGCAUAAAACGCAUUGCAGUUGGAGCAGUGGCAUUAUCAUGUUAGUCAGUCUAACAUGGCAGUGAAUGACGUGAAUUUUUUGCUAGUUUAGACCUCUGGCCAGCGCAAUUGACAAAAAUGCCCCCCUCUCAAAACUAAUGCCAAAAAUGGUCUGGCAGAAGGCCCGAAAGGCGCCACAUUUCAUUUUUCGCCAUCUGAGCUGCGCAUGCAAACAUUCCGACAACCUGAAAGGCGGAAAGGCCGUUCCGCCUACUGCAUUUGAUGAAUGCACCUGACAAGGGCGGAAGGUGAACUGGGCCCUGCAGAUGGAAGCAAUUUCCACAUUUGUUACAGACCUGGAAUCUUUUUUUUUGUUGGAGUCGACGGACCAUGUAUGUGCGGAUGCAUAGGAAUCGGCAAGCAGCCUAGCUGCUAGUUCACGGGCACGUUUUACAUUUUCUUUCCUCAGGUUUGGCUAGUGCUACCACGUUGAUACUAAUCAACGCUUCUUGUGAAUGGGCUUAGUUGCUUCUACUAGUCGUGCGAGCGUUAAUCUUUUCUCUGUGCGCCUGCAUGUGCGGGCGUGGGAAUCGGGUCAGGUCCCUGCAGACAGCACGCCUGGCUGCACUGGGCCUGCUUCAGCUUCCGCCCCUGAAAAUUCACUUUCGUCCAUUUCAACUGGAAACAAGUAGGCUCCACCUGUCCUGUUGGCGGAAAGUUCAUUCCUCCUACCCAGUGGCCACUGGGUCAGUUGCUGGGCUUUCCACCACGUCAUUUUUCAAAUUAUAUUUCAGAUGGAGCUAUUUUUGCCAAUUCCGUUUGACAAGGGGCUACAAGAGCAAAGAAAUUGAAUGACAUAGCAAGCAAUCAAUUUCCCCUUAUAGGUAAAUAAUAAACAGCUUUGCUUCAGCUUACUGUCAUCAGCUGGUGGCUGACUGCCCUGACCAAACACAAGUUCAGUAAUCUACACAGCAAGCGGCACACAGGUGCAGCUAAGCACAUGGAUGAACAGAAUAUUCCAGCCAUUGAGGCUCAGCUCUCGAAGCUUAAUGCCAGGUGGCAUCUACAUUGUAUUGCAGCCCGUAGCACCCUGAUUGACUAGUAACCCAACAAUGAGACAAGCUCUAAUCCACCCAAUGACCUCACAGUUGGCAAGAAAUGCAGCCCUUAGUGACACGCACCACCCUACAUAACUUUCUCGUGGACUAAUCAGUAUGAAUCAUAUAAACCCUCUGCAAGCUGCAGUGAAAUAAAACUACUACUACUGAACUAGCUAUUGUCCCAGAUGGCCAUCUCCAACCCAACCGCCCAAGCAUGAAACAAGGGGCCAGUUACGAGAUCUAGGCCUACAGACCCCUAGACCUUGAGACAACCGACCUGUUGAUCAUCCGAAUUAGAGGAGGAGGUGCACACCCGUACCUUGUACCCGACCGGCGCGUUGGCUUCGCGGUCGUUGCAGUAGAUGGUGCGCACGGUGGGUGCCUGCGGCUGCGGCUGCCGUCGGAGGCUGCCGCCCCCGCCGCCGAGACGCGCCGUCCUGGACGCCUCAGCGCGGCCGGCCUGAGAGGUCCCCCCCCGCGGCGACUGCUCGCCGCCCAGCCGCGCGGUGGCAACCCGCAUCAUCUCCUUUAUGCGCGAGCUCAUCCUGCCCCCCUCAGCGCCAAACCCAGCGCUGGAGGAGCCGGCGGGAGAUCUGGGGAAACCUCACGGUGGAUCGGAGGGGAGACCUAGUCGGAUUUGCGCGGCUUUCUGGUGGAUUUCAGUGCCUCGCUGAGGAGGGGAUUCGAUUUGGGUCACGCGUUCCCGUAUGUGCGUAUUUUUUCCGUGUAAUUUUUUUGUUUUGCCUUUUUCUUUUCCUUUGGCUCCGGGAGAAGAGAAGACAGGAGGGGAAGGAAAAGCGAAGGUCGCGACUUCGCGAGGAAGAAAAUGAAGGGAUUACUGCAGAUCACACCCUUGAUUAUUUUCGAAUAUGGAAAGCUCCAGUAACUG
rnacentral:lncRNA from 1 species